rnacentral:rRNA from 1 species
GAUGAACGCUGGCGGUAUGCUUAACACAUGCAAGUCGAACGGACUCUUCGGAGUUAGUGGCGGACGGGUGAGUAACGCGUGAGAAUCUGGCUUUAGGUUCGGGACAACCACUGGAAACGGUGGCUAAUACCGGAUGUGCCGAGAGGUAAAAGAGAAAUUGCCUGAAGAUGAGCUCGCGUCUGAUUAGCUAGUUGGUGAGGUAAAGGCUCACCAAGGCAGCGAUCAGUAGCUGGUCUGAGAGGAUGACCAGCCACACUGGGACUGAGACACGGCCCAGACUCCUACGGGAGGCAGCAGUGGGGAAUUUUCCGCAAUGGGCGAAAGCCUGACGGAGCAAUACCGCGUGAGGGAAGAAGGCUCUUGGGUUGUAAACCUCUUUUCUUAGGGAAGAACAAAAUGACGGUACCUAAGGAAUCAGCAUCGGCUAACUCCGUG